GAAAAUUCAACAUCUGACUCGUGACGACGCAAAUCCUAAACUACACCGUCAAAUGUCAGCUACAAGAAAACAGCAAACUAUUACCCAGUGAACAACCUAUCCCCAGAAAUGGAAAUCGAGAUGUCGUGGAAAGGAAGGGAGGAAUCAAAGAAAUACCAGGUGAAGGAACCAGAAUGUUUUCCAAUCAGCUUCAUAAUGACUCUAGUCAUGUCACGUGACCAUCUCUCCUUUCCUCCAAAAAUGCCUGCAACCAAAGCAGAGUACAAGAGAUCCAUUGUGCAACGACAGAAGGACAACAUUUGACAAAUGCCUGUUUUUUUCACUGUCUCGGUUUAAUGUUGAUCUUUCAAGGACGAAAAUGUAACAUCAUACUCACCUUAAUUAAA